rnacentral:rRNA from 1 species
UACGUAGGGUGCAAGCGUUGUCCGGAAUUAUUGGGCGUAAAGAGCUUGUAGGCGGUUUGUCGCGUCUGCUGGUGAAAUUCGGGGCUCAACCCCGAACUUGCAGUGGGUACGGGCAGACUAGAGUGUGGUAGGGGAGACUGGAAUUCCUGGUGUAGCGGUGAAAUGCGCAGGAUAUCAGGAGGAACACCUAUGGCGAAGGCAGCUCGCUGGGACGGUUACUAACGCUGAGACGCGAAAGCGUGGGGAGCAAACAGG